UAUCCUAGAAUAGACCUCACAUGAUUUUUUAUCACUAAUACAAUGGCUAGUUCAAAUAAUUAAACCAUCUUCUUUUUUGGAACAUACUUCAAUUCCAUUUCUCUUACAUAACACCUUAAAUACUUUGUAAUAUCCUUCUUGUUAAAUUGAUCAAUCUUAUCUAUAACCGCCUAUAAUGUUUUAUUUUCCAUAUCCUCUUUGCACUCUUUAAUCUAUUUUUGUUGCAUAAAUAAGUAUUUAAUUUUUAUUUAAGGUUUCUCUGAUAUCUCUUUAAGAUUUCUUGUGGAUUCUUUUGGAUUUCUUUAGGCUUUCUUUAAGAUCUACAUAUUAUUUUUUAUGAUUUGUUUAGAAUUUCUUUAGGAUUUGUUUAGAAUUUCUUUAGGAUUUCUUCAUGUUUCUUUUGUAAUUUCUUUAAGAUUUCUUUUGGAUUUUAUUAAAGCUUAAUUAGCAUUAUUAAAAUUUAAUUGGAUUUUAUUUAGAAUUCUAUUAAAGUUAUAAAAAUCUUGUUGUUAUAAUUUUUCUUUUGCAUCCUACAACUAGGUGCCCAAUGCAUUCUCAAGCAAGACUUCAUACAAUAUGACAUAUUUAGUGAAUCUGACGUAAAAAGCUUGAUGUAGAAGGUUGUUAAAUAAAUAAAUUGUAAUCAAAUCCUACUUUAAUCUUAAUUGAAUUCCUUAUGAAUACAAACUAAAUUCUAGGUCAAAUCCUAAGUAAAUCCUAAAUCUUAAAUCAAAUCCUAGAAAAAUUCUAAAUCCUAAAACAAAUCUUAGAUAAACCCUAAGUUCUAAAUAAAUCCUAAAUCCUAAACUAAAUCCUAUACAAAUUUUAAAUUCUAAAUCAAAUCUUAGAUAAAUCCUAAAUCUUAAAACAAAUCUUAGACAAAUUUUAAACUCUAAAUCAAAUCCUAGAUAAAUCCUAAGUCCUAAAUAAAUCUUAAAUCCUAAACCAAAUCCUAAUCAAAACCUAACCAACUCAAAUUAAUCCUAAGAUAGAUUAGAAUCCCAAUAUUUAUUGAUUAAACCAUUAAUCUUCCUUAAAAAUUUAUACACCUAUCAACAUGUUACUUAAAAAUAAAUAUAAUAAAUUUGAAGAUAAUUCAACUUAUCAAAUAGAAGAAAAAUCUUGAAAUCUGCUUGAGUGUAAGCUGGCCUCCUAUUCCAAUCUGAAUGUUGAACUUUAAAUACCAAUAUCUCUUUUUGGAAGCAUUAAAUUUUUUUCAAGAUUCAUUUAAACUAUUAAAAGUCAAAUCAUAUUUUCACACAAAAAAAUAUC
rnacentral:lncRNA from 1 species